AUGCACUGCCACAGCUCUCAGAAUCUGAUGAAGAAUCAAACUCAUCCUGAUCUCGGAUGAUCUGAGGGGGAGCACAUUUUCAGCUGAUUUUU